rnacentral:lncRNA from 1 species
UCAGGUGCAGGAGGAGCCGAUUCCUGUCCCCGACGACAUCGUGGCAGGUAUUAUCUCGAUCAGAGGCACCAGAGCUAGAGCUUUAUUCGACACAGGUGCAUCGCAUUCAUUCAUAGAUGCAUCAUUCGCUAGGACUCAUGGCAUUAAGAUCGUGCACCAUUAUGACUAUUGGACGGUAAAUUCGGUCAAGCAUACUUUUCAUGUUCACGAAGAAUGUGUAGCGUGCCCAGUGCAGAU